AGCGAACGCUGGCGGCAGGCCUAACACAUGCAAGUCGAACGAACCUUUCGGGGUUAGUGGCGGACGGGUGAGUAACACGUGGGAACGUGCCUUUAGGUUCGGAAUAACUCAGGGAAACUUGUGCUAAUACCGAAUGUGCCCUUCGGGGGAAAGAUUAAUCGCCUUUGGAGCGGCCCGCGUCGGUUUAGCUAGUUGGUUGAGGUAAUGGCUCACCAAGGCGACGAUCAGUAGCUGGUCUGAGAGGAUGAUCAGCCACAUUGGGACUGAGACACGGCCCAAACUCCUGCGGGAGGCAGCAGGGGGGAAUCAUGCGCAAUGGGCGAAAGCCUGACGCAGCCAGGCCGCGUGAAUGAUGAAGGUGUUAGGAUUGUAAAAUUCUUUCACCGGGGACGAUAAUGACGGUACCCGGAGAAGAAGCCCCGGCUAACUUCGU
rnacentral:rRNA from 1 species